CGUGAGGGAUGAAGGCCUUCGGGUUGUAAACCUCUUUCAGUAGGGAAGAAGCGAAAGUGACGGUACCUACAGAAGAAGCACCGGCUAACUAUGUGCCAGCAGCCGCGGUAAUACAUAGGGUGCAAGCGUUGUCCGGAAUUAUUGGGCGUAAAGAGCUCGUAGGUGGUUCGAUACGUCGGAUGUGAAAAUCAGGGGCUCAACCCCUGACCUGCAUCCGAUACGGUCGAGCUGGAGUUUGGUAGGGGAGACUGGAAUUCCUGGUGUAGCGGUGGAAUGCGCAGAUAUCAGGAGGAACACCGAUGGCGAAGGCAGGUCUCUGGGCCAAUACUGACACUGAGGAGCGAAAGCGUGGGGAGCGAACAGGAUUAGAUACCCUGGUAGUCCACGCCGUAAACGGUGGGCGCUAGUUGUGCGAACCUUCCACGGUUUGUGCGACGCAGCUAACGCAUUAAGCGCCCCGCCUGGGGAGUACGAUCGCAAGAUUAAAACUCAAAGGAAUUGACGGGGCCCCGCACAAGCAGCGGAGCAUGCGGCUUAAUUCGACGCAACGCGAAGAACCUUACCAAGGCUUGACAUAUACAGGAAUACGGCAGAGAUGUCGUAGCCGCAAGGUCUGUAUACAGGUGGUGCAUGGUUGUCGUCAGCUCGUGUCGUGAGAUGUUGGGUUAAGUCCCGCAACGAGCGCAACCCUCGUUCUGUGUUGCCAGCAUUUAGUUGGGGACUCACAGGAGACUGCCGGGGUUAACUCGGAGGAAGGUGGGGAUGACGUCAAAUCAUCAUGCCCCUUAUGUCUUGGGCUGCACGCAUGCUACAAUGGCUGGUACAAACGGCUG
rnacentral:rRNA from 1 species